AUUGAACGCUGGCGGCAGGCCUAACACAUGCAAGUCGAGCGAGCGGCGGACGGGUGAGUAAUGUCUGGGAAACUGCCUGAUGGAGGGGGAUAACUACUGGAAACGGUAGCUAAUACCGCAUACCAUCAGAUGUGCCCAGAUGGGCUUAGCUAGGAGGUGGGGUAACGGCUCACCUAGGCGACGAUCCCUAGCUGGUAUGAGAGGAUGACCAGCCCCACUGGAACUGAGAUACGGUCCAGGCUCGUACGGUCAGCAGCAGGGGGGAAUAUUGAACAAUGGGCGAAGGCCUGAUGCAGCCAUGCCGCGUGUAUGAAGAAGGACUGCGGGUUGUAAAGUACUUUCAGCGGGGAGGCGUGACCCGCAGAAGAAGCACCGGCUAACUCCGUGCCAGCAGCCGCGGUAAUAC
rnacentral:rRNA from 1 species